rnacentral:rRNA from 1 species
AGUGAACGCUGGCGGUAGGCCUAACACAUGCAAGUCGAACGGCAGCACAGUAAGAGCUUGCUCUUACGGGUGGCGAGUGGCGGACGGGUGAGGAAUACAUCGGAAUCUACUUUUUCGUGGGGGAUAACGUAGGGAAACUUACGCUAAUACCGCAUACGACCUACGGGUGAAAGCAGGGGAUCUUCGGACCUUGCGCGAUUGAAUGAGCCGAUGUCGGAUUAGCUAGUUGGCGGGGUAAAGGCCCACCAAGGCGACGAUCCGUAGCUGGUCUGAGAGGAUGAUCAGCCAAACUGGAAAGGGGACACGGUCCAGAACCCUAGGGGAGGCAGCAGGGGGGAAUAUUGGACAAGGGGCGAAAGCCUGCUCCAGCCAUACCGGGGGGGUGAAGAAGCCCUUCGGGUUGUAAAGCCCUUUUGUUGGGAAAAAAAAGCAGCAGGUUAAUACCCCGCUGUUCUGACGGUACCCAAAGAAUAAGCACCGGCUAACUUCGU